UUGCUGCAACAUUUUUCUUCUUGGGAUGAUCAUAUCAUGUAGUCUUUGAACUCUUCCCUUGAAUCCAUCUCCUGUGAUUGCUCAGAGAUCUGUUCCUGUGGGAAGAUGAGAGUGACAUGACCUGCUGAAGAUGGUGGAGAGUGAACAGAUGCCCAGCAGCAGCUCAAG
rnacentral:lncRNA from 1 species